AGAAUUUAUGGUGACCGUCAUAGUCAACAACUUCGUACUGUUGGGCAGCAGAAUAAUGUGAUGAGCAAGGAAACAUUUCUCAAUGACAUGGAGGUGCAACCAUCAUACAAAUGCCCUUCUAUGGAUGAGAAGAAUGAAACUUUGGUCCAUGAUGAAAAUGUGCACCAAUAGAGGAAAAACACUAGUGCAGAUAAGAACAAAGAUACUUCUAUCCAUGAUGAAAAUGUGCAACAAGAGAAGGAAAACUCUAGUGCAAAUAAGCAUGGUGGCCAGAACAUUAGUAAGGUCUCAAGAGGAGGUAA